rnacentral:rRNA from 1 species
UACGGAGGAUGCAAGCGUUAUCCGGAAUGAUUGGGCGUAAAGCGUCCGCAGGUGGCUGUGUAAGUCUGCUGUUAAAGAGUGGGGCUCAACCUCAUAAAGGCAGUGGAAACUACAUGGCUAGAGUGCGUUCGGGGCAGAGGGAAUUCCUGGUGUAGCGGUGAAAUGCGUAGAGAUCAGGAAGAACACCGGUGGCGAAAGCGCUCUGCUAGGCCGCAACUGACACUGAGGGACGAAAGCUAGGGGAGCGAAUGGG